CAGUUUGAAGUAAGAUGUUCUUUUCCUUUUAUAAUUUUAUGCAAAUUAUAAAUACACGAAUAAAUAAGAAACGAGAAGCAUACAAGAUUGUUUGUUUCAAGAUUUGCGUUUCACGAUUACGAUACCCAAUGCAUCUUUGUUGUUUUCGUAUUCAAUAUGUAGACUCGAACGUUUAAAAUAUCGCUUAUUUUCCUCCGUGUUAUUAAUAUUACAUUUUUAUCUUUCAGAAACUCCGAAGCGAUAUUGCGAGAUUUUCUAACCGACUCUCGGUUCUCAACGCGAUGAAAUCCGCUCAACAGUUGGACAAUUUAAUGGCGCCACGAGGAACGAUAGUUAUCAUCGCGCUUGUGGAGUGAAAGGUUAUCGUGUUAAGGAUACGUGUUGACGUGGCUCGCUUUAAAAGCGAUUUCAACCUUCGUUGAAAUCCUGAAAUGGGCGAGGCCGACCAGAUAUCCGGGCAGGAAGUUUGCGGAAAGUGCAGAGACAUUCCGCUGAUAAUAGCCUCACGAUGACGAGGGAGGGAAACGUUAACGAUUAUUAUCAUAACGCGAAAAGCUUGGAAAGAUUGUUGAGAUCUUAAAAGUUAUCCGAAUGCUCGGUAUAUUUUAUGAAAAAUAUUUAUUAUCUCAUUUUACAGCGUAAAAUUUUGUAAUUAUCUAUUUCGAAAUAUCAUAAUUGAGGAUCAUAUUUAUUUUACAUUAAUUGUUUGUUGAUUGGAAAAAAUUUAAAUUUAAAAUAAAACUCAUAAAAUGAACUUGAAAUUGAUCGUACGUGUACACAACGAAAAGAUUAAAAAUUAAAACACAAAAAAUGUUGCAACAGAAAAAACAAAAAGGAUGAAAGAUGGAAGAAUAAAAAGAAAGAAGUUGGAUCAAAUUCCCUUUAUAAUUUUUUACCACUUUCCGGUAAACGAUUUUAACGCUUCGCUAAUUUAUGGCUUCCAACAUUAAUCGGCUGACACGAUAAAUUCAUCCGGAAAUUAUUCGAAGAUUGCACGAUUAUCUGAUAAUGAUUCCCAUUUUAAUUAACUCCGCGUCAAGAGAUUGUAAACAAUUGGAAACGCGAGUUGCAAUUAAUUGCGGAUUUAUCUUUUGAAAACGUGCUAACGACUGCAUACAAAAAUUGAUGAUUGGUUUCUUUUUUUUUUUUUCUUUUCUCUUUUUCCCUUUUUCUAUUAUUUACAUUUCGAAAGAUUCUUUCCAUUCAUGACGAAGCGUAAAAUGACGGCGAAGGAAGAAAAGCUGAGCCGUGGGUGGCGCCGACCGAUAAGAGGAGGACUUCUUGUAGGCGGAUCUUUGGUUUUACGUAUCGAAUAAAAUGAUAAGUUCUGCGCAGAUAAUUCGAUGGUUGCGAUCGAGUGACAUAAAAAUAGACGAUGUUUUAUGUUGUUCGA